UACAGAGGGGGCAAGCGUUAUUCGGAAUUAUUGGGCGUAAAGGGCGCGUAGGCGGCUUGGCAAGUGGAUGGUGAAAUCCCUCGGCUUAACCGAGGAACUGCCGUCCAAACUGCUUUGCUUGAGACCGGGAGAGGUGAGUGGAAUUCCCAGUGUAGCGGUGAAAUGCGUAGAUAUUGGGAGGAACACCAGUGGCGAAGGCGGCUCACUGGACCGGUACUGACGCUGAGGAGCGAAAGCGUGGGGAGCAAACAGG
rnacentral:rRNA from 1 species